AAGCAUCUUCGGAUGUGUAUAAAGUGGCGAACGGCUGAGUAACACGUGGGCAACCUGCCCUUUGCACUGGGAUAGCCUCGGGAAACCGAGGUUAAUACCGGAUACUCCAUAUUUGUCGCAUGGCGAAUAUGGGAAAGCUCCGGCGGCAAAGGAUGGGCCCGCGGCCUGUUAGCUAGUUGGUGGGGUAGUGGCCUACCAAGGCAAUGAUGGGUAGCCGGGUUGAGAGACCGACCGGCCAGAUUGGGACUGAGACACGGCCCAGACUCCUACGGGAGGCAGCAGUGGGGAAUCUUGCACAAUGGGCGAAAGCCUGAUGCAGCGACGCCGCGUGCGGGAUGAAGGCCUUCGGGUUGUAAACCGCUUUCAGCAGGGACGAGGUCGCAAGGUGACGGUACC
rnacentral:rRNA from 1 species